AUGGAAAAGAGGAUCCUCGAUGACAUAGCAGAAAUCUGGAAAAGCAGACAAGAAUCAAAACAGAGUCACAGAGUAAUAUUAGGCCCAAACUUUGCAGAGAUAUUCAUUCCAAUGGAGAAGCAUGACCGCUAUGUACUAUAUGUGAUGGACAAAUACAAACACAAAGUUCACAUUACUGAUCCUCGAGAAACAACUCACGAGGAAUUUGAGAAAGAAAAGAUAGACAUCGAAAAAUUAACACCAGAAGAAGCAAGCCGACUACUUCAGGAAAAUGAAGAUGCCAGAAAAGAAAGAGAAAGACAGUUUCACAAAUAUCAUGUUCAUAAGAUGGCAAUCGUACCUAGGUUUAAAGAAGUCUUCAACAUCAUAAUAGGACAAACAAUGAAUGUCAAGGGUACAAGAUGGCAGACUCAUACCGUGCAAGAUGUUCCAGUGGUAGAAAAGGGAGAAACAACAUUUGUUGUUUUAAAGCUUGCAUUCCUCUACAAUGGUGAAAAGUUUGUCGAAGACCUGGAAGAUUUGAUGAGGUCAAAGACUGGAGGGCAGAGGCAAUGUACAUUCUCUUAA
rnacentral:rRNA from 1 species